rnacentral:rRNA from 1 species
GACGAACGCUGGCGGCGUGCUUAACACAUGCGAGUCGAACGGUGAAGCGAGUGCUUGCACUCGUGGAUCAGUGGCGAACGGGUGAGUAACACGUGAGUAACCUGCCCAUCACUCUGGGAUAAGCACUGGAAACGGUGUCUAAUACUGGAUACGACCAACCCUUGCAUGGGGUGUUGGUGGAAAGAUUUAUCGGUGAUGGAUGGACUCGCGGCCUAUCAGCUUGUUGGCGGGGUAAUGGCCCACCAAGGCGACGACGGGUAGCCGGCCUGAGAGGGUGACCGGCCACACUGGGACUGAGACACGGCCCAGACUCCUACGGGAGGCAGCAGUGGGGAAUAUUGCACAAUGGGCGAAAGCCUGAUGCAGCGACGCCGCGUGAGGGAUGACGGCCUUCGGGUUGUAAACCUCUUUCAGCAGGGAAGAAGCGAAAGUGACGGUACCUGCAGAAGAAGCACCGGCUAACUACGUG